rnacentral:rRNA from 1 species
UACGGAGGGAGCUAGCGUUGUUCGGAAUUACUGGGCGUAAAGCGCGCGUAGGCGGCUUUGUAAGUUAGAGGUGAAAGCCCGGAGCUCAACUCCGGAACUGCCUUUAAAACUGCAUCGCUUGAAUCCAGGAGAGGUGAGUGGAAUUCCGAGUGUAGAGGUGAAAUUCGUAGAUAUUCGGAAGAACACCAGUGGCGAAGGCGGCUCACUGGAUUGGUAUUGACGCUGAGGUGCGAAAGCGUGGGGAGCAAACAGG